rnacentral:lncRNA from 1 species
CUGGAACCUGUUGAAGCGGUCCCGCUGCAGGAAGGACGGCACCGCCAGGCGCUCGCUGGGCCGCGGGGUGUAGAUCUGCUGCUCGGCCAUCCCGCUCCCCGACACCGUGCUUUCCGACGGCCACAGGCUGCCCUCUGAUGACAGAUUCUCAUCUCUCCGCCUGCCUUGGCUGUGCCGGCUGAUGAAGGAUCGCGCAGAGAGUUUGUAGUGGUUCAGCAGACAGGUGAUCAC